rnacentral:rRNA from 1 species
UACAGAGGUCCCGAGCGUUGUUCGGAUUCACUGGGCGUAAAGGGUGCGUAGGUGGUGAGGUAAGUCGGAUGUGAAAUACUGGAGCUUAACUCCGGAACGGCAUUGGAAACUACCUUGCUAGAGGGUUGGAGGGGGGACUGGAAUUCUCGGUGUAGCAGUGAAAUGCGUAGAUAUCGAGAGGAACACCAGUGGCGAAGGCGAGUCCCUGGACAACCCCUGACACUGAGGCACGAAAGCUAGGGGAGCAAACAGG